CAUAGGACUGGAAUGUGAUUAGUUCUGAAUUUUUUCGGAAUGGAAUGUGAACAGUUUUUGGGGAAAUGGAGAAACUUCUUGCAUUCCUGCAUUAGAAUGGAAUGUGAAAAGUUUUUCAUUGAAAUGGAAUUUGAUAUUUUUUCCGAAUGGAAGAGAAUGUGAAAGGUUUUUUAUUGUGAUUAUUUUUUUUGGUCUGGAAUGCGAAAGGGUUUCAGUUGUUUAUUUAAUGCGUGAUGAAUACAAUUUCUUUAUUUCAUGCGAUGAAUUUUUUUUUUGAGAAUGGAUGAAAGGAGUCUGAACAUGAAGAGGAGCAUGAUCCCUCCAAAGAAAAGGAGGUUCCUCAGAAUCGCAAGGGCUCUGAAUGGACCUUUGCCUAACACACAAUGAAUUAUCAGAAGACAGGCAAGAAAUCAAAUAGAAGAUCUGAUUUGCUGUUGCAAAUGAAGGAAACAUUUGAGGAACUUAAAAUGAAUAUCAACUUUUGCCUUCAAAAGUGCAUGUUAAGUUUGUUAGGUUAACUGCAAACGAGAUCCUUAUGCAUUUUCAAUGAGUUGAAAUGAAAUGCAAAAGAAAUUGCAUUUUCAGGUUCCAUUUUUUCCGUUUCUCCUUGGGUACUCUUGGGCCUUUUGGAAGAGGCAAUAAAGCUUUAUUGCUUUGUACACAAGAUAUUGGUGAUGGUGAUGGUGCUGAGGACUUAGUCUCUCGAGUGUAGUACACUCUCAGAAAAUGAAUUGUCCUUCAAUCUUCAGCAAUUCUGGCUUCAAAAACAAUGUGAAGUCUCUGUAUCCCACAAGACAUGAAUGGGCAUGGAUCUCAUACUCUGUUUUUAUCUGCACUAUACCUCAGAUAUUCUAUGUUCUGGCAAGAAAAGGCAAUUCCCAGGAAUAUGUACCUUGUGUAUAAAGCAAUAUAGCUCUGUUGCUUGCAAAACAGAAUCCAAAAAAAAUUAUCAUUUUGAUUAUGCAGAUUCCAGGAUUGGUAUAGAAGCAACCCUUGAAACAACAAUGGUUCCCAACAAAACAUGUUUUUUAUUUACCUCUUCCAAAGGCGUGAGAGUACCAAAGGACAAAUGCAAAUAUAUGGAACCUAGAAAUGCAAUUUGUUUUGGAAAUGCAUGAGGAACUUAUAUGCAGUACUGAGGCAAAAGGUGAUAUUCAAUUUUAAGUUCCUCAAAUAUUUCCUUCAUUUUCAGUAGCAAGUCAGAUCUUCUAUUUGACUUCUCGUCUAUGUUCUGAUAGUUCAUUGUAUGUGUGAGGCAAGGGCCCAUUCUCAUACUCCUAAUGUUCUGAAUCUCCUUAAUAAACAACCUGUAUUUUGGGGUGCUAAUGAUAAAGCUUGCUUUUUAAAUUAAAUAUUGAAACAAGCCAAGGAAAUGUUUAUCUCAUAAAUGA